UGUUGAGUUUAGACUGUCUACGUUGUUUUUAUUUUUCCAAAACGUGUGGACUCAUCGUGACUAAGAAAACGAGUUAAAACAAACUCAUAUGAAGCCCUCAGAUCAAGCUUUGUUUAGUCACGAUGACACGACACUUUUGUCGAUUCAAUGUCGCAAUAUUUGCUCCAUAUACAUUAUGUACGUUAUGUACCUUUGGUAAAUACAAAAAUAUAGUAACUUUAUUUCACACGUACCUACUGAGAAAUCGCUAAGUUAGUUCUAAGAACUCUAUAAUUAUUUUUAUUUGCCCGACAGUCAUUAAGUGUAGUGUGUCAGUAUCAGAUAGACCACUGCUGUUUGUAUUGUAUUAUUUGUAUAGUUAUAUUAUGUUCCUGUGACUCCUGUGUCCAUGGGUGGGACUAAUCGCUUACCAUCAGGCUUUGUACCAGAGUAACUGGUGGAGAGUCUCAGAUUCAAUACUCAGGUCGUGGAUGCAGGCUGACUUAAUACUGAGUAUUGCAGCUAUGGGCUUGCUUGCUUUUUGUUUUGUCCCACAAUUGAGCCCGCUUCUGUACGAAUGGGCCAGCUCGACCGGAGUGAUACCACGGCCACACAGAAAAACGACGUAAAAUAACGUUUGCGUUGUGUGAGUGAAGUUCCUUAUCUUCACAAUCCCCGAUUUCACAACAACUCUUAAAUUCUUAACCAUCAAAAGGCUGGCAAGGCACUUGUAACGCCUUUGGUGUUUCAAGUGUCCAUGGGCUGCGACGAUUGCUUACCAUCAGUUGAUCCGUUUGAUCGUUUACUAGCCUAUACAAUAAAAAGAGAACUCAUAUCCGGUAAAUAACACUAUUUUGUAAAUAAAUG